rnacentral:lncRNA from 1 species
CAAAAAUAUACAUUUUUUUUUUCGCCAAUUUACAUAAAAAAUUCAUAAGUUUUAAGCUUUUGAAAAACUAGACUACCUUUUUUAAUUUUGCAGAUUCGGGCCGAGUUUUUCGCCAUCGGGCGAAAAUACCCUUAUUCCUUUUCUUUCUCUCUCUUCUUUUUUUCUCUCUUUUUUUUUUCCUUCGCUAUUUUUUUUCUUCCGCCACCCGCCGCUGCGCCCUCUGCUCCACCCCCGCCGCCACGCUCGCGCUCUCCCUCGCCACCGCCGUCGCGCUCGCGUUAGCCUACCUUUAACUACCAGCCCCGCCUCCCCUCCUUCCUCCUCCUCUCCGUCCGACCGCACCGUGUCCGGAUCUCCCCCCGAUCCCUCCACCCGCGCCGCUGCCGCCACCCACGCUGCUGCCGCCACCCGCCACCUUCUCCAGGGGCCCGCAUCUCACACGAUGUCACAGCCACCACCCGCGCUGUUGCUGNUACGUGUGUAGCGGUCGAUAGAGCUUCCGACCCAGGUUAUUUCGGUAUGAUGAUUACCCUUAUUAUUUCAGUUGUUAUAGCUUAGAUAGUUAUAUGGUUCAGUAUUUUUAUUACAUUUGAAAAUAUGGAUUUUCGUGAAUGUAAUAAAUGGAUUUCUGGAUUUUGUAAAAUAAAAGGUUUUCUACCCCUCGUGGUAGCGUUUUUAAAGAAUAAAGGUUUCCGUGUAGGAAACAGUUUUCAAAAGAUUUUCUGUGGAUUUUGCAUCUUAGUAUUUCAAAAGCUGUUUCUGUGGUUGGGAACAUUUUAACUGAUAGAUAUGGAUUUAUGUUUAAAAAUUGAAUAUAUAAAUGUGAACUGUGAUGUGAAUGGUGUAUGAAUAUAUAAUUGUUGGUUAUUUGUAUGUUCAUUUGGUUGUGGUUGUAUCUGGGUUACUUCUUGUACUUGUGUGACGCCGUGCAAAUACAGGGGAGACUCUGUCCGUGUGAAUAGUGGAUUCCCUGUGUUUGUGGCGGAUCUGGCAUACUCUGGGGUCAGGCUUUUCAAAAAAAAAAAAAUCAGACGCUUUUCCGCUAUGUUUUAAACUAAAAGGGACCCCGGGGCGUGACACCUACACGCUAGUAAUAAUAACUGGGCUUAAGCAUUUUGCGCCGGUUGUUUGGGCUUAACGAGUUAUUGUUACUAGCAGGUCAAGUCGUUGCAAUAUAUAUAUAUAUAUAUAUAUAUAUAUAUAUAUAUAUAUAUAAAGUUUGGCUACUAUGCUAUCAAUAGCACCAAGCAUUUUGUGCUAUCAAGUUUNNNNNNNNNNNNNNNNNNNNNNNNNNNNNNNNNNNNNNNNNNNNNNNNNNNNNNNNNNNNNNNNNNNNNNNNNNNNNNNNNNNNNNNNNNNNNNNNNNNNNNNNNNNNNNNNNNNNNNNNNNNNNNNNNNNNNNNNNNNNNNNNNNNNNNNNNNNNNNNNNNNNNGUUGAUUUGAACUCUUCUAUAUCGUUAAACGAGCAAACGCACCAUAUCGGCCAUUAAAAUUAUAGAUUUUGUGACCCUUUGAUCGUUGAGUUAGUGAUGCCAAAAAAUCAUGAAAUUUGAUUUCUAGAUAAUUUAAAUGGUCUAGAUCAUGUUCAACAGUGCCGAUCGUCGAUUUGAAAGCUCUAUCAUCAAAAGCAAAUCAGUAGUAAACCGAACAGUUUACUACCGAUAGUAGCCCAGUCAAUAUAUAUAUAUAUAUAUAUAUAUAUAUAUAUAUAGAGAGAGAGAGAGAGAGAGAGAGAGAGAGAGAGAGAGAGAGAGAGUCCAGCUCGGUAGCACCAAGGACUUGGUGCUAUCGAGUUUUCCACUGUUAGAUUUAACUCUUUAUUUGUUUUUACCAGUUAGAUUAUACUAUUCAAUCAACCACCCACUCAACCCUAGGAGGCCCACAUCAUCCUAACCGCACAAUUUCAAUCCAAGGACUAAAAAACUAAUAGCGCUAUUAUAUAUAUAUAUAUAUAGAAUUAGGCUGGAAUACUAUUAAUAGUAAAACGUGCUUUUUGCUAUCAAAUUUUUAACCCUUGGAUGAAAAAUUAUAGGGUCAGGAUGAUAUUAGUUGGUUAGAGAUAUAUAUAUAUAUAUAUAUAUAUAUAUAUAUAUAUAUAGUUGGACUGGGCUAUUAUUAGUAGCAAAAUCUCAUUGUUGCUAUCAGUUUUUUAGCCUUUGGAUCAACUCUUUUUAUUAUUUCUAACCAUUGGAUUAAAUACUAUAACCCAGUGGGGACCACUCAACCCUAGGGGGACCACUCAACUCUAACCAACUAAUAUCAUCCUGACCCUACAAUUUUUCAUCCAAGGGUUAAAAACUUGAUAGCAAAAAAAGUGUUUUACUAUUAAUAAUAUUCCAGCCUAAUUAUAUAUAUAUAUAUGUUUAAUUAUAUUAUUGAGCUCCUAUGCUUCUAAAUCACCAAGUCGUUAGUGCUUGUAGAUUUCGGCGUUUGGAUGGAGAUUUGUAGGAUUAGAAGAAUAGCGAUCCCCAAUAGUUGAGUAGGUGGUUGUUGGAUUAACAUAAUCAAAAGAAUGAAAGUGGUUAAAGCGAUAGAUCUAAUAGAGAAAAUUUUACAAGUACAAAUGCUUGGUGCUUUUAAAAGUACCAAGUCAAUCUCUCUCUCUCUCUCUCUAUAGACUUAAUAGAUUCCCAUACGUCAACUUUUCUUCGAAUGUGAUUGGUGCGGUAUCGUAAAAGUUGUUGAUUCACAUGCUCUUAGAUCGUUUUCUAAUACUCCAAUACUGUGAUAAAUUAUACUACAACCGAGCUAAAUUUAUAGUCUAUCAUUCAAGACAUACUCUCUAGAAGAAAUAGAAUAAUGGACUAUAUGAAUUUUCUCUCUUUCUAGUCGAGGCAAAUGAAUUUUUCAUAAUUUUUUUGGGUAUUUUUUAUGUGUCAUUUAUGUCUGUCAUAUAUAGUGUUUUAUCUCUCAUGCAGAUUAUCUGUAUUAUAUAAGAAUUUUUAACAUUCUAAAAAGCAAGUUAAAAAUUAAGCCAAAUCGAUUUAUGAUUUGGUAGUCUAGUUUGGUUAGAAAAUAUUUCAAAUUAACUUGAAGUCAAAAUGUGAGAACAAAUUUAGUCCAAUUAGACAAUAUAAGGGUCGUCAAAUCGACACUGAAGAAAAGAUAGUUUGUUAUAUGUUUUAUUUAUUUUUUUAGAAAUAAAUUUAUAUAGAAAUAUAUAUAUAAACAAAUAAGCUUCAUGGAUAGAACAUUGGAUACCAAGAAGCUCCCUUUCACAGCUGGAAAGGAUCGGUCUUUUAUUUUAUUUGUUAUUGCUUAUUCUGUUGUAGUCUUUUUUAUAGGUAAAAUAAUAGGUUGCUAGAUUAAAACUAGGUGGAAGAAGGUGAUGGAUUCAUGAUUCACGGAUAUAGUUUUGGGGCUUUUUUAUAAAAUGACCCUCCAAAAAAUUAAAAUUGGCAAAAUGAUCCUGUAAAAAUUUUAUUUGUAAAACUAACCCUCCUUUCGCCACGUGGGUGCCACGUCAGGGUUUCCUUACAAAGACGGUGAAUCGUUUCCCGCUUUUAUCCAUUUCUUUUAAAAGCGGUGAAUCGUUUACCGCUUUCAUCGUUUACCGCUUUCUCCUAUUUCUUUUAAAGGCGGUAAAUCGUUCACCGCAUUCAUUAGAAUUGUGCGUGAAUUAUAUAGGAAAUAGAAAAAAGUGAGGUUGUUAGGAUUAUAUGUGGAUCAUUAGAAUUUUUAUUUGAUUAUUAGGAUUGUAUAGAUAGAUUAUUAGGAUUUUCAGGUUGUUAAGAUUAUAUGAAAUUAUAUGAAUAAAUUAUUAGGAUUUAAAGGUUGUUAAGAUUAUAUAUGAUUUGUUAGAAUUUUUAUGUGGUUGUUGGGAUUAUAUAUUAUAUAUCUAAAGAGAGAGUUACGUCUAAUAAGAGGGAGAAAAGACCCUACCGUAUAGAACGUUGAGGACCGAUGACACCAUACGUGAAACCUCUCCCUUAGUGCGCAAAAGAAGCGUAGAAAAACCCCGGAUGUUUCACCAUGGAAACAAUUAUUAUUAAUUUAGUAAUUUACGUAAUAGCAUGAUGUCGUUUUGAUACCUGAAAAAAUAUUUCGUUGGGAGAUUUUAAAACUUUAAACACUUUAUUGGGAGAGUUUUAAAAUAAACCUUUUGAUUGGGAGGAAAGUGGUGCAGCCGCGGUGCAGUCUUAAAAAAAAUUUCCGUCACUUAGCAAGUGGCGAAAGAGGGUAAAGAAAAUUUUCGCCACUUAGCAAGUGGCGAAAGAGGAUAAAGAAAAUUUCUGCCACUUAGUAAGUGGCGGAAAGUGAAUAAGUGAUAAAGAAAGAUAUAGAGNUAAUUUUGCAGAUUCGGACCGAGUUUUUUGCCAUCGGGCGAAAAUACCCUUAUUCCUUUUCUUUCUCUCUCUUCUUUUUUUCUCUCUUUUUUUUUUCCUUCGCUAUUUUUUUUCUUCCGCCACCCGCCGCUGCGCCCUCUGCUCCACCCCCGCCGCCACGCUCGCGCUCUCCCUCGCCGCCGCCGUCGCGCUCGCGUUAGCCUACCUUUAACUACCAGCCCCGCCUCCCCUCCUUCCUCAUCCUCUCCGUCCGACCGCACCGUGUCCGGAUCUCCCCCCGAUCCCUCCACCCGCGCCGCUGCCGCCACCCACGCUGCUG